rfam:Bombyx mori DNA, contig: Bm_scaf75_contig31742, strain: p50T/Dazao, build 2, whole genome shotgun sequence.
UUAACUCCGAUUUGUAUGGAGUUGGAACGUUUGCCUACGUUUGCCGCUAGGGGUGCUGUUCCAACUCCAUACAUAUUCGAGUUA